rnacentral:rRNA from 1 species
CCUACGGGAGGCAGCAGUGAGGAAUAUUGGUCAAUGGACGAGAGUCUGAACCAGCCAAGUAGCGUGAAGGAUGACUGCCCUAUGGGUUGUAAACUUCUUUUAUAUGGGAAUAAACUGUUCCACGUGUGGGCUUUUGUAUGUACCAUAUGAAUAAGGAUCGGCUAACUCCGUGCCAGCAGCCGCGGUAAUACGGAGGAUCCGAGCGUUAUCCGGAUUUAUUGGGUUUAAAGGGAGCGUAGGUGGAUUGUUAAGUCAGUUGUGAAAGUUUGCGGCUCAACCGUAAAAUUGCAGUUGAAACUGGCAGUCUUGAGUACAGUAGCGGUGGGCGGAAUGCGUGGUGUAGCGGUGAAAUGCUUAGAUAUCACGAAGAACUCCGAUUGCGAAGGCAGCUCACUGGACUGCAACUGACACUGAGGCUCGAAAGUGUGGGUAUCAAACAGGAUUAGAUACCCGAGUAGUC